rnacentral:rRNA from 1 species
CUCCAAGAUAGCCAUGCAUGUCUAGUAUAGCAUCAUACUGUGAACUGCGAUGGCUCAUAAAUCAGUAUCGUUAUUUGAUAGUACUACUACUGGAUACCGUGGUAAUCUAGAGCUAAUACAUGCGUCAAGCCCCGACUUCGGGAGGGGUGUAUUAUUAGAUAAAAAACCCAAUGCCUUUCGAGGCUCCUUGGUGAUUUCAUGGUAACUUAACGAAUCGCAUGGCCCUUGCGCCGGGCGAUGGUUCAUUCAAAUUUCUGCCCUAUCAACUUUCGACGGUACGGUAGUGGCGUACCGUGGUGGCAACGGGUAACGGAGAAUUAGGGUUCGAUUCCGGAGAGGGAGCAUGAGAAUCGGCUCCCCACAUCCAAGGAAGGCAGCAGGCGCGCAAAUUACCCAAUCCCGAUACGGGGAGGUAGUGACAAUAAAUACUGAUACAGGGCUCUUUUGGGUCUUGUAAUUGGAAUGAGUACAAUUUAAAUCCCUUAACGAGGAACAAUUGGAGGGCAAGUCUGGUGCCAGCAGCCGCGGUAAUUCCAGCUCCAAUAGCGUAUAUUAAAGUUGUUGCAGUUAAAAAGCUCGUAGUUGAACCUUGGGCCUGGCUGGCCGGUCCGCCGCAAGGCGUGCACUGGUCCGGCCGGGCUCCUCCUUCUGGUGAACCCCAUGCCCUUCACUGGGCGUGGUGGGGACCCAGGACAUUUACUGUGAAAAAAUUAGAGUGUUCAAAGCAGGCCUUUGCUCGGAUACAUUAGCAUGGAAUAAUAAAAUAGGGCGGGCCCCCUAUUUUGUUGGUUUCUAGGGGAGCCGCAAUGAUUAAAAGGGUCAGUCAGGGGCAUCAGUAUUCAAUCGUCAGAGGUGAAAUUCUUGGAUCGAUUGAAGACUAACUACUGCGAAAGCAUUUGCCAGGGAUGUUUUCAUUAAUCAGGAACGAAAGUUAGGGGAUCGAAGACGAUCAGAUACCGUCGUAGUCUUAACCAUAAACUAUGCCGACUAGGGAUCGGAGGGGGUCUGCUAGAGCCCCCUUCGGCACCUUACGAGAAAUCAAAGUCUUUGGGUCUGGGGAGUAGCACG